ACGGGUGAGUAACGCGUGGGAAUCUACCUAGUUCUACGGAACAACAGUUGGAAACGACUGCUAAUACCGUAUACGCCCUACGGGGGAAAGAUUUAUCGGAAUUAGAUGAGCCCGCGUAAGAUUAGCUAGUUGGUGGGGUAAUGGCCCACCAAGGCGACGAUCUUUAGCUGGUCUGAGAGGAUGAUCAGCCACACUGGGACUGAGACACGGCCCAGACUCCUACGGGAGGCAGCAGUGGGGAAUAUUGGACAAUGGGCGCAAGCCUGAUCCAGCCAUGCCGCGUGAGUGAUGAAGGCCUUAGGGUUGUAAAGCUCUUUCACCGAUGAAGAUAAUGACGGUAGUCGGAGAAGAAGCCCCGGCUAACUUCGUGCCAGCAGCCGCGGUAAUACGAAGGGGGCUAGCGUUGUUCGGAUUUACUGGGCGUAAAGCGCACGUAGGCGGUUUGUUAAGUCAGAGGUGAAAUCCCGGAGCUCAACUCCGGAACUGCCUUUGAUACUGGCAAGCUAGAGUCCGGAAGAGGUAAGUGGAACUCCUAGU
rnacentral:rRNA from 1 species